rnacentral:rRNA from 1 species
ACUCAAAGGAAUUGACGGGGGCUCACACAAGCGGUGGAGCAUGUUGCUUAAUUCGAAGCAACGCGCAGAACCUUACCUGGGUUUGACAUGCAUGGAUCAACCUCCUGAAAGGGAGGCCACAGCCGCAAGGCCGGAACAUGCACAGGUGCUGCAUGGCUGUCGUCAGCUCGUGCUGUGAAGUGUCGGGUUAAGUCCUCUAACGAGCGCAACCCCUAUCGCUAGUUGCCAGCGGGUAAUGCCGGGGACUCUAGCGAGACUGCCGUUGUAAGACGGAGGAAGGUGGGGAUGACGUCAAGUCCUCAUGGCCCUUACAUCCAGGGUUGCAAACGUGCUACAAUGGUGCGUACAAAGCGACGCGAGGCCGCGAGGCGGAGCAAAUCGCAAAAAACGCACCCCAGUUCGGAUUGCAGGCUGCAACUCGCCUGCAUGAAGUCGGAAUCGCUAGUAAUCGUGGAUCAGCUACGCCACGGUGAAUAAGUUCCUGAGCCUUGCACACACCGCCCGU